GAUGAACGCUGGCGGCGUGCCUAAUACAUGCAAGUCGAGCGAACGGACGAGAAGCUUGCUUCUCUGAUGUUAGCGGCGGACGGGUGAGUAACACGUGGAUAACCUACCUAUAAGACUGGGAUAACUUCGGGAAACCGGAGCUAAUACCGGAUGAUAUUUUGAACCGCAUGGUUCAAAAGUGAAAGACGGUCUUGCUGUCACUUAUAGAUGGAUCCGCGCUGCAUUAGCUAGUUGGUAAGGUAACGGCUUACCAAGGCAACGAUGCAUAGCCGACCUGAGAGGGUGAUCGGCCACACUGGAACUGAGACACGGUCCAGACUCCUACGGGAGGCAGCAGUAGGGAAUCUUGCGCAAUGGGCGAAAGCCUGACGGAGCAACGCCGCGUGAGUGAUGAAGGUCUUCGGAUCGUAAAACUCUGUUAUUAGGGAAGAACAUAUGUGGAAGUAACUGUGCACAUCUUGACGGUACCUAAUCAGAAAGCCACGGCUAACUACGUG
rnacentral:rRNA from 1 species